GACGAACGCUGGCGGCACGCUUAACACAUGCAAGUCGAACGAGAGAAGAGAAGCUUGCUUUUCUGAUCUAGUGGCGGACGGGUGAGUAACACGUGAGCAAUCUGCCUUUCAGAGGGGGAUACCGAUUGGAAACGAUCGUUAAUACCGCAUAACAUAAUUGAACCGCAUGAUUUGAUUAUCAAAGAUUUAUCGCUGAAAGAUGAGCUCGCGUCUGAUUAGCUAGUUGGUAAGGUAACGGCUUACCAAGGCGACGAUCAGUAGCCGGACUGAGAGGUUGAUCGGCCACAUUGGGACGGAGACACGGCCCAGACUCCUACGGGAGGCAGCAGUGGGGAAAAUUGCACAAUGGAGGAAACUCUGAUGCAGCGAUGCCGCGUGAGGGAAGAAGGUUUUAGGAUUGUAAACCUCUGUCUUCAGGGACGAAAAAAGACGGUACCUGAGGAGGAAGCUCCGGCUAACUACGUG
rnacentral:rRNA from 1 species